rnacentral:rRNA from 1 species
CGCGUGUGUGAAGAAGGCCUUCGGGUUGUAAAGCACUUUCAGUUGUGAGGAAAAGUUAGUAGUUAAUACCUGCUAGCCGUGACGUUAACAACAGAAGAAGCACCGGCUAACUCCGUGCCAGCAGCCGCGGUAAUACGGAGGGUGCGAGCGUUAAUCGGAAUUACUGGGCGUAAAGCGCACGCAGGCGGUUUGUUAAGCUAGAUGUGAAAGCCCCGGGCUCAACCUGGGAUGGGCAUUUAGAACUGGCAGACUAGAGUCUUGGAGAGGGGAGUGGAAUUCCAGGUGUAGCGGUGAAAUGCGUAGAUAUCUGGAGGAACAUCAGUGGCGAAGGCGACUCCCUGGCCAAAGACUGACGCUCAUGUGCGAAAGUGUGGGUAGCGAACAGGAUUAGAUACCCUGGUAGUCCACACCGUAAACGCUGUCUACUAGCUGUGUGUGCCUUUAAGGCGUGCGUACCGAAGCUAACGCGCUAAGUAAACCGCCGGGGGAGUACGGCCGCAAGGUUAAAACUCAAAUGAAUGGACGGGGGCCCG